rnacentral:rRNA from 1 species
GGGUGCGAUCAUACCAGCGUUAAUGCACUGGAUCCCAUCAGAACUCCACAGUUAAGCGCGCUUGGGCUAGAGUAGUACUGGGAUGGGUGACCUCCCAGGAAGUCCUAGUGUUGCACCCU